AUUGUGUCAAGGUGAUGAUUAGGAAUGUAGUGUCUUUUCUUCCCAGUUUAAUAUCUGGUAUAUCCUCUAUCUCAGUGAAGUAUUGUUAAAUGGAUGCUUGGAGUUGGGAGAUUGAACAGGAACUUGCUCUUCCCACUCCAUGUCUGACUUGGUCUUGUAAUACCACAAAAGGUACACCCUUU